AAAUUUUAACAUUAUUUUAGCACCAAACGCUGACUUCAGUUAGUCUCAGUGACACAAGCUUAGGAUGAAGGCUCUUAGGCAAAGUAAUACAAAAAUAGAAAUUGUUGUAUAUGCUCACGAGCAGGCAAAAAACGUUGAACAGCUUUCCUUUCUCCAUCUCAUUACUAGAAAUAUGAAGAAGCUAAAGACCGUGGAUGUGAUAAAAUUAUUGUAUAUAAUUUAUUACUUUCUCCCUUCCUUAUUAAUUGAUCUUUUCAAAAGAAAAUUGUUUCAAAAAAUUGAUUUUUUAGGU
rnacentral:sRNA from 1 species